rnacentral:rRNA from 1 species
UGGGGAAUUUUGCGCAAUGGGCGAGAGCCUGACGCAGCAACGCCGCGUGGAGGAUGAAGGUCUUUGGAUUGUAAACUCCUGUCAGCGGGGAAAAAGGGACCGUGGUUAAUACCCAUGGAACUUGAUUGUACCCGCAGAGGAAGCCCCGGCUAACUCUGUGCCAGCAGCCGCGGUAAUACAGAGGGGGCAAGCGUUAUUCGGAAUUAUUGGGCGUAAAGGGCGCGUAGGCGGCCAUUCAAGUGACGGGUGAAAGCCCUCGGCUUAACCGAGGAACUGCCUGUCAGACUGGAUGGCUUGAGACCGGGAGAGGUGAGUGGAAUUCCCAGUGUAGCGGUGAAAUGCGUAGAUAUUGGGAGGAACACCAGUGGCGAAGGCGGCUCACUGGACCGGAACUGACGCUGAGGCGCGAAAGCGUGGGGAGCAAACAG